rnacentral:rRNA from 1 species
AAGAGCAUUCGGUGGAUGCCUUGGCGCUGAGAGGCGAUGAAGGACGUGGUACGCUGCGAUAAGCCUUGGGGAGCUGCGAACGAGCUUUGAUCCGAGGAUCUCCGAAUGGGGAAACCCACCUUCGACCUUUCGUAUUGCAGUCGCAGACUUU